rnacentral:rRNA from 1 species
UUGGAGGGCAAGUCUGGUGCCAGCAGCCGCGGUAAUUCCAGCUCCAAUAGCGUAUAUUAAAGUUGUUGCGGUUAAAAAGCUCGUAGUUGAAUUUCGGGGUCAGCAGGUUGGUCGUGCCAAUGGUAUGAACUGGCCUUGCUGAUUCCUCCCUCUUGAUGAGCCGUAAUGCCGUUAAUUUGGUGUUGCGGGGAAUCAGGACUGUUACUUUGAAAAAAUUAGAGUGUUUAAAGCAGGCAAGCGCUUGAAUACAUUAGCAUGGAAUAAUGAAAUAGGACGUUUGAUCCUAUCUUGUUGGUUUCUAGGAUUGACGUAAUGAUUAAUAGGGAUAGUUGGGGGCAUUAGUAUUCAAUUGUCAGAGGUGAAAUUCUUGGAUUUAUUGAAGACUGACUACUGCGAAAGCAUUUGCCAAGGAUGUUUUCAUUAAUCAAGAACGAAAGUUAGGGGAUCGAAGACGAUCAGAUACCGUCGUAGUCUUAACCAUAAACUAUGCCGCCUAGGGAUCGGAUGAUGUUAAUUUUUUAAUGACUCAUUCGGCACCUUACGGGAAAC